rnacentral:rRNA from 1 species
AUUGAACGCUGGCGGCAUGCCUUACACAUGCAAGUCGAACGGCAGCACGGGAGCAAUCCUGGUGGCGAGUGGCGAACGGGUGAGUAAUAUAUCGGAACGUGCCCAGUCGUGGGGGAUAACGUAGCGAAAGCUACGCUAAUACCGCAUACGAUCUAUGGAUGAAAGCGGGGGAUCGCAAGACCUCGCGCGAUUGGAGCGGCCGAUAUCAGAUUAGGUAGUUGGUGGGGUAAAAGACCCACCAAGCCGACGAUCUGUAGCUGGUCUGAGAGGACGACCAGCCACACUGGGACUGAGACACGGCCCAGACUCCUACGGGAGGCAGCAGUGGGGAAUUUUGGACAAUGGGCGCAAGCCUGAUCCAGCAAUGCCGCGUGCAGGAUGAAGGCCUCGGGUUG